rnacentral:rRNA from 1 species
GACGAACGCUGGCGGCGUGCCUAAUACAUGCAAGUAGAACGCAGUUGCGAACGGGUGAGUAACGCGUAGGUAACUGCCUCAUAGCGGGGGACAACUAUUGGAAACGAUAGCUAAUACCGCAUACUGUGAGCUGGACCUGCGUUGUAUUAGCUAGUUGGUGAGGUAAAGGCACACCAAGGCGACGAUACAUAGCCGAACUGAGAGGAGGAUCGGCCAAACUGGGACUGGGACAAGGCCCAGAAGCCUGCGGGAAGCAGCAAUAGGGGAUCUGCGGCAAUGAACGGAAGUCUGACCGAGCAACGCCGCGUGAGUGAAGAAGGUUUUCGGAUCGUAAAGCUAUGUUGUUAGAGAAGCGGUAACUAGCCAGAAAGGGACGGCUAACUACGUGCCAGCAGCCGCGGUAAUAC